UACGAGGGGGGCAAGCGUUGUUCGGAUUUACUGGGCGUAAAGGGUGCGUAGGCGGUUCUGUGUGUCGGGUGUGAAAUCCCACGGAUUAUCCGUGGAACGGCAUUCGAAACUACAGGGCUAGAGUGCGGGAGAGGAAGGUAGAAUUCUCGGUGUAGCGGUGAAAUGCGUUGAUAUCGAGAGGAAUGCCGGUGGUGAAGACGACCUUCUGGAACGCAACUGACGCUGAGGCACGAAAGCUAGGGGAGCAAACAGG
rnacentral:rRNA from 1 species